rnacentral:rRNA from 1 species
UAUCUCUGUAGAGUCUGCAUAUCAAUAAGCGGAGGAAAAGAAACUAACUAGGAUUCCCUCAGUAACGGCGAGUGAAGCGGGAAGAGCUCAAAUUUGAAAUCUUCAAGGUUCUACCUUGACGAAUUGUAGUUUAAAGAAGUGUUUUCUGUUGGAGUUUUGGUAAAAGUUCUUUGGAAUAGGACAUCAUAGAGGGUGAGAAUCCCGUAUUUGACCAUUAUUUCCAGCUGUGUGAUACACUUUCGAAAGAGUCGGAUUGUUUGGGAAUGCAGUCCAAAAUGGGUGGUAAAUUUCAUCUAAAGCUAAAUAUUGGCGAGAGACCGAUAGCGAACAAGUACCGUGAGGGAAAGAUGAAAAGAACUUUGAAAAGAGAGUUAAACAGUACGUGAAAUUGUCAAAAGGGAAGCGUUUGACACCAGUGUUGUUUUCUCGAAAAUCAAUUAAAAAUGACUGGAUUUUGUGUUGUAUUGACUUUAUCAGCUUUCUGCACUCUUUUCUUGUCUUUUUUAAUGCACUUUUCGUUUAACAAGUCAACAUCAAUUUCUUUUGUUGUAAAAGGGUCAUUGGAAGGUGGCUUUCUUUUCGGAGAAAGUGUUUAUAGCCUUUGGCCUCUGCAAUCGGAGAGAUUGAGGUCUGCAGCGUAGAUCCUUCGGGGUUAGAUACAUUUGUGCUAAGUUAUAGCCUUUCAUAGACAACUUAUUGACUAUGAUCAGUCAUGUAGCUUACUCGCUUAUGCUAUUUUACCUACGCUUAGGAUGUUGAGUAGCGACAUACGCAC